UACGAACCGUACAAACGUUAUUCGGAAUCACUGGGCUUAAAGGGUGCGUAGGCGGCCAUGUAAGUGAGGUGUGAAAUCCCUCGGCUCAACCGAGGAACUGCGCUUCAUACUGCAUGGCUUGAGGGAGACAGGGGUAAGCGGAACUGAUGGUGGAGCGGUGAAAUGCGUUGAUAUCAUCAGGAACACCGGUGGCGAAAGCGGCUUACUGGGUCUCUUCUGACGCUGAGGUACGAAAGCUAGGGUAGCAAACAGG
rnacentral:rRNA from 1 species